UGUGUUUCUCUCCAUGAAAUUGCAUAGGAUGCUGCUUCCAGAUUGGAAGAAACAAUGGGCAGAAGUCACAAAGAUCAUCCUCUGGCUCUGUUCGAAGUUUUUGGUCCUGGCACCGCAAGAGGUUACACUCAGCAGGAAAGCUCUCCGUAAUUUUGGAGGAGCAGUCUAUCAUCACUGGAGAAGACAAGUCAUCUUUCUCCACAGUAAGUUUCUUUUAUUAUCUGCAACAAAAGGUUAGCGUCAUUUCCUCAUUGUUUUCAAGCAAAUUCAAAUGUGAAAGUCUGUACUGUUCAAAGUAUGGAGACAUACUUUUUUCCUGGGUUGGAUGAUUUUUGACUGAAUGCCUUUCC
rnacentral:lncRNA from 1 species